CAGACCCUGGGCUCCUGACCUGCAGGCUCAGUGUGGCUCGGUCAUAUUCAAAUACCCGGAUGCCAGGAUUGUUGGCCCCAUUGACCACACCAGGAGAGAGACCGCGGGACUGAGAGAGAGGCCAGCAAGAGGAGGAGGCGGGUAUGGGUUGGCCGCUGUCCUCUACGGUAAGUACCUGCGUCAUCGUAGAACAUCCGGAAGCUGUCGGUGUGGUGAUGGCCGAAGAACUGCCCUGCGAUGACUUGAUGGUGCUUCCGGAUCACCUUCAGGCUGUCGUGAGGCUGGAAAAAGAAGCCCCUUCCUGGUGCCAGGCUGAUGAAGGAUCUUCAGGGAUAGAGGCCCCUCAAGGGAGUGGCUGAGCUUGUGCAGAGGUGGGACACUGGCUCAGGAAGUGACCCCAGAGAGGGUAACAGGUGGACAUGGGAGCCCUUACCAUCUCCUUA